rnacentral:lncRNA from 1 species
AACGACCUUUUUCCCGUGACUAAGACGAGACUAAGACGUGACGAAAACGGAUCUUUAUAAAUAAAAACUAUGACUAAAUCUAUUUUAACUUUCGUUGACGAGACGAGACGAAAAUGUUGGUGGUUGACUAAGUCACAAUUUUUUUUUUUUUCUAAACUUGUAUGCACAUCAUUGGUUGAAUGUUGCCCGGUCCUGUAUCUAUCCCUCCUCCACUCCCUGAGAUGGCUAGACAUGCAAGUGACGCCCUAUGGCUUAACGUUAUGAUGGCUGAAGUUCAAGCACUCGGUACUGGAAGACAAAUAAGAAUAGAUAUCUGGACAGUCUUAAAUUAUAACUUGACAGAAAAUAAAACACAAUGCACCGCAAUAACUGGAGAGAAACCGUGUGGCUUCAAAAUACAUGGGAAGAACACAACAAGAGGCACCUGAAAGCGCACAAGACAACCCUGCCAUUUAUGCCAAGGUCACUGGGACCAAUGGGGGGACGUCCUGCAGAGGUGGGAGGGUCCUGGAGGUCCUGCUGGAGAUGGAGAGAGAGCGAGAGAGAAGAGAGGAGGUACGGAGUGUGUGUGUGUGUGUGUGCUGACGCUCAGCUGGUGGAGCACAUUGGAGAUGUGUGUGUGUGUGUGUGUGUGUGUGUGUGUGUGUGUGUGUGUGUGUGUGUAUGUGUGUGUGUGAUGAGCUCAGCUGGUGGAGCACAUUGGAGAUGUGUGUGAUGAGCCAGUGACACUCCCCACUAGAGCUAAGAUCAUGGGAAAAAGAGAUAGUUACCAAACGUAUGUGUGUGUGUGUGUUGUGUGUGUGUGUGUGUGUGUGUGUCUCUGUGUGUGUGUGUGUGAGUGUGUGUGUGUGUCUCUGUGUGUGUGUAUGUGUGUGUGUGUGUUUGUGUGUCUCUGUGUUGUGUGUGUGUGUGUGUGUGUGUGUGUGUGUGUGUCUGUGUGUGUGUGUGUGUGUGUGUGUGUGUGUGUUUGUGUUGUGUGUUUGUGUAUAAUGUGACAGCACUACUGGGACCAUCAGUUGUUUCAAGCAGCACAGGCAGCCGGCUCCCUACCCAUAACACCCUGCUCCCUACCCAUUACACCCUGCUGUGAACACAGGCAGCUUAAGGUGGGUGCAG